AGCUACAGGCUUAACACAUGCAAGUCGCAGGGUAACAUGAGGAAAGCUUGCUUUCCUUGAUGACGACUGGCGCACGGGUGAGUAACGCGUAUCCAACCUUCCCAUAACUACGGGAUAACCCGUUGAAAGACGGCCUAAUACCGUAUGAGAUCGUUUGCUGACAUCAAAUAACGAUUAAAGGUUUAGCGGUUAUGGAUGGGGAUGCGUCUGAUUAGCUUGUUGGCGGGGUAACGGCCCACCAAGGCUACGAUCAGUAGGGGUUCUGAGAGGAAGGUCCCCCACAUUGGAACUGAGACACGGUCCAAACUCCUACGGGAGGCAGCAGUGAGGAAUAUUGGUCAAUGGGCGAGAGCCUGAACCAGCCAAGUAGCGUGCAGGAUGACGGCCCUAUGGGUUGUAAACUGCUUUUAUGUGGGGAUAAAGUGCGUGACGUGUCAUGCAUUGCAGGUACCACAUGAAUAAGGACCGGCUAAUUCCGUGCCAGCAGCCGCGGUAAUACGGAAGGUCCGGGCGUUAUCCGGAUUUAUUGGGUUUAAAGGGAGCGUAGGCUGUCUAUUAAGCGUGUUGUGAAAUUUACCGGCUCAACCGGUGGCUUGCAGCGCGAACUGGUCGACUUGAGUAUGCAGGAAGUAGGCGGAAUUCAUGGUGUAGCGGUGAAAUGCUUAGAUAUCAUGACGAACUCCGAUUGCGCAGGCAGCUUACUGUAGCAUAACUGACGCUGAUGCUCGAAAGUGCGGGUAUCAAACAGGAUUAGAUACCCUGGUAGUCCGCACGGUAAACGAUGGAUGCUCGCUAUUCGUCCUAUUUGGAUGAGUGGCCAAGUGAAAACAUUAAGCAUCCCACCUGGGGAGUACGCCGGCAACGGUGAAACUCAAAGGAAUUGACGGGGG
rnacentral:rRNA from 1 species